rnacentral:rRNA from 1 species
UAGGGAAUCUUCCGCAAUGGGCGAAAGCCUGACGGAGCAACGCCGCGUGAGUGAUGAAGGUCUUCGGAUCGUAAAACUCUGUUAUUAGGGAAGAACAAAUGUGUAAGUAACUAUGCACGUCUUGACGGUACCUAAUCAGAAAGCCACGGCUAACUACGUGCCAGCAGCCGCGGUAAUACGUAGGUGGCAAGCGUUAUCCGGAAUUAUUGGGCGUAAAGCGCGCGUAGGCGGUUUUUUAAGUCUGAUGUGAAAGCCCACGGCUCAACAGUGGAGGGUCAUUGGAAACUGGAAAACUUGAGUGCAGAAGAGGAAAGUGGAAUUACAUGUGUAGCGGUGAAAUGCGCAGAGAUAUGGAGGAACACCAGUGGCGAAGGCGACGUUCUGGUCUGUAACUGACGCUGAUGAGCGAAAGCGUGGGGAUCAAACAGG